rnacentral:tRNA from 2 species
GGUCCUAUAGCUCAGCUGGUUCAGAGCACCUGCCUUACAAGCAGGGGGUCCUAGGUUCGAAUCCUAGUGGGACCACAA